GUCUGAGCACUUGCCCGAGAGCAUGCCUCGAAAGCCACCAGGUCUUGUAAGAUAGUUGGGGAGUGUGACUUCAUGGUCUGUAAAAAGAACAUACUAAUAGUUACAUACUGAUACCAUGACAAAACAUAAAAGAAUGAUUUUAAGAAGGAAUCCAGUGGUGGAAUAAAUUGAAAGGAAACAGUGUGAGUCAUUGAGUGUGUCAAUGGGAUCAGAAAAAUGGUAAAGCAAACAGCAAAAUAAGGUUGUCAUUAUCGAGACACUUGUGAAUAGGAGUUACCCUUGUACUAUGAAGUCCAUUUCUUGAUUGAAGGGAACUCCUGAGCUUUAAUGUUUUAGUAACACACCCCUCUCACCCAGUAUUCUGGAGGUGAAUCAUAGGGAUGGUUGUACAAUAAUGUAUUUAUGUGUAAAAACUGCCUAGAUAGCAAAUUUUACAUUAUAUGUUUUUUAUUGUAGUUGAAAUUAAUGAAAACAUUUAGUCCCUGUGAUCAAGCGUCUGGAAACAGAAGAGGAGGUUUUGCGUUGGCACUGGUGACCUGAUGUUUUCCUGUUGUCUUGCAGACCUGGCGUCCCCUUGACUGUGCAGGCGUUUUCAGAAGAGGAGAGGAAGCAGUGGCUGGAAGCUCUGGGUGGAACAGAAGCUCUGUUCCAUACUUUGAAUAGAGCGAUCCUCCCGAGACCAGAAGGAGGUUGGAAUACACACUAAAGUAUGGUUUAUUGCUGGUAUGUUCAUGCUGGUGACGGUACAAGUAUCCUUCUGGGGGAUUCUGCAACACUUGGUGCAUUUCACACAACCUGAACUUCAAAAACCUAUUAUGAGGAUUCUUUGGAUGGUCCCAAUAUACAGUUUAGAUAGUUGGUUGGCCUUAAAAUUCCCCAAAGUUGGAAUAUAUGCCGAUACCUGUAGAGACUGCUAUGAAGCUUACCAUUUAUAACUUUAUGACC